AUGCAGCAAAACCAAACACAAAUAAAUCAUUGGAUGGUCAAGACUCCUACAUUGCAUAUUAUCGCCCUAGUAUGUAGAUCUGCAGGUAGCCGAUCACAUGAGAACCGUGAUCAAAUGCAGUAUACCUGGAGAAACAAUAGAAGUGAAAUACUUCAAAAUCUAAUUUGGGAAGAAGCAAGAUCCUUUGCUUACAUGAGAACUGUGAUGAUACAGUCAGCGCAUCAGUUGAUAGUUGCGUUGGAGAUGAAGAAAAGUAAACUAUCAACAUCUCUUUCCAACAGGUAUUACCUAUCAACAUCUCCAUCUUUCUCACCCAUUCUCUAUCUCCCUCUGCUCCAGUCCAGACCCAUAAAUUUCCCGCAACCUCUCCAUCCCCCUUUGUAUCCUCCCCAGUCACCACGGGCCGCCUCCUCCGCCGUCCUGCUGGAUCGUACCGUGACGCUGCCUACUGCCCAGCUUGCGGAUCCUACCAUGCUUAACAGUUGA
rnacentral:rRNA from 1 species